AUCUCAUAACUCUGUGGAAAAGACUUCCUGCAAAGUCAUGCUAAAGCGAGAAGCAUUGUCCAUAACUCCUUUCUCCCCCCUUAAGUUAGUUUAGGUCCAGUUUUGUAUUACUUCAAAACAAAACAGCUGUAGCUGAAACACUGAACUUUUUAGUUUCUCCUCUAAACCCAUCCCAACUCCCUACAUUUGUUUGUUGUUAAAGUGGCAUGACUAUUGUUUUGGUCUUAGGAUAAGUUAACUGCCAAAACAAAUGACUCCAAAAAGUGAGUGGCUUACCACAGUAAGCCAUGGAAAGCUUCCGUGGUGUUCCUGUUUUGUGGGCAGGCCUCCACGUAGCCAUUCAGGAACCCAGGCUCCUUCAGUCUUGUGGAUAUGGCCUCCUCUUCAGCCUCAGCAACCUCUUCAUCAGGAGAAUGGGGGAGGAGAGCAGAGAAGCAUGUGUGGGAGGGUGUCAUGUACCCGGCGUGGAUGGGGAGCACAUUACUUCUGUUCACAAUCUUUGCUCAGAACUCAAUUAUAUGGUACAUCCAACCUCAUGGGAGGCUGGAAGAAGUGUCCUUGCUGUGGGCCCAGGAAGGAGCAGGAACUAAAGCGAGAUGAAGAAACUGAGGCAUCCAGAGAGGCAAAGUUGCCUAAGAUCCUGGCUGGUUAGUGUCAGAAUCAGAACCUACACCUCUUGACUCUUAGUGCUGGUCUCCUUUCCUCCCAGCUGCCUCCUCUAUAUUCUAGCUUGCUUUUGGUCUCUGGUACACUGUGUAAGAGAUAAUAAACACUACAGGGCACAA